rnacentral:rRNA from 1 species
GGACGGCGUAAGCUGUCGCUAAAAGGGGAUGGACCUGCGAUGCAUUAGCUAGUUGGUAGGGUAACGGCCUACCAAGGCGAUGAUGCAUAGCCCGAGUUGAGAGACUGAUCGGCCACAUUGGGACUGAGACACGGCCCAAACUCCUACGGGAGGCAGCAGUAGGGAAUCUUCCACAAUGGACGCAAGUCUGAUGGAGCAACGCCGCGCGAGUGAAGAAGGUUUUCGGAUCGUAAAGCUCUGUUGUUGGUGAAGAAGGAUAGAGGUAGUAACUGGCCUUUAUUUGACGGUAAUCAACCAGAAAGUCACGGCUAACUACGUGCCAGCAGCCGCGGUAAU